rnacentral:tmRNA from 1 species
GGGGCCGAUUUGGAUUCGACGCCGGUUACAAAACUUACGUGUGCAUGUCGUGAUGGUAGCCAAUCACGUUAAUCCAAAGCUGCAAACUAUUAGUUGCCAAUGAUGACAACUACGGUGCACAACUAGCUGCGUAAGUAGCUCUUUGUAAACCUUCUAGUGGUUCGCCGCUAGCGGUCUUUGACAAGGUGCCAGUACCGCGUUAACGUCCGUCAUAUAGAACUGGAUCGCUGUGAAGCCGCGCCUGAGGCCGAUCUGCUAAACCUUAAUCAGGAUCGCCAACUACGUCCUGCCCGUCGGGCUGUAAGCGGUUAAAUUAAUUGACGGAAUCUAAGCAUGUAGAGCACUAAGCAGCGGACUGACGGACGCGGGUUCAAUUCCCGCCGGCUCCACCA